rnacentral:tRNA from 1 species
GGUUUGGAAGGUUAUACCAUUAAGUUGCAAACUUAACACAGCGUAAGCCCAGGCUA